CUGUGCAGAAAAGAGAUUACUGAGCUCAGAGAAAGCUGUAAACAGAGCAGCAGGCUGUAAUUGCAGAGCCAGGGGGAUCUGCCUACCUCUCCCCCCUUCCUCCAAAAUGCCCUCUGGAUUGAAGGGAAUUCAAAGUGAGAACUGUUAUGCAAAGAGAGUGAUGGAAUGGGAUUGCUUGACCUCGCCAGGCAACAGGUGAGGGCUACAGAGCGUGGCCAGCCAGUUUCAAGAGACCCACCAAGAAAAAGGACCACACGUGAUUUAGUGAUGGUUCUCUCCUCGAGGACAGCAAAAAUCAAGAGUUGGCUCAAAUUAGGUUGUACCCCAAAAUUCAGUUUAAAUCUGACUUA